UCCUGCAAUCUUGGGAAUGUAUGGGCCAUUUUCAACAGCGUCAAGGAUGUCUAUGCCACUGGCUUCCAGGAAUAUCAGCAUCCUGUGCUUCCAGUACAUAUAAGCUGUUCCGUUGAAUGCUGGAGGUCUUGCUAAUGAUGCGCCUUCUCCCAGAAAAUCGUUUGAGGCCAUAGUCCUUUUAUGAGUGUUACCUCUCGAAAAGUUAGGCUCUGAGGCCAAUUGUUGGUUGAUUUGACCUCGAAAUAAUCGGAAUGUAUCAGUUCUUUAAGAAAUUAAAUCAAUUUCAUACACACAGCGGAAUU
rnacentral:lncRNA from 1 species